rnacentral:lncRNA from 1 species
CUUACAUUCAUAACAAAUAAGAGGCUGCUCCUUAUCCUUCUCUUUGCUAUAUUCUCCUUUUGUAGGUGGCCUCUUCCUCAUCCUUUGUCUUCUUUUCUUCAAGAAUCUUUUAAACUUUCUAGUGAUGAGGGCCAUUUCUUCAUCUUGCUCUUCAUUUUCAGUUUCUUCGAAUUCCUCAUCGAGUUGAGUAGUAGACUUGAGGGCGAUUGUCCUCUUCUUCUUGACAUCUUCUUCUUGAUGUUAUUUCAUGCUUAGCUCGUGUGUCAUUAGCGAUCCUAGAAGCUCCUCCAAGAGUAAAAUAUUCAGAUCUUUGGCUUCUUAAAUUGCGGUCACUUUGGCCUCCCACGUCCUUGGUAAAGACCUAAGAAUCUUUCUCACAAGAUCGCUGUUAGAGUAAGACUUU